UGUCCAAUGCGGGAAUCGAACCCGGGUCGUAGCGGUCGAAAACCACCAGUUUAGACCAUCCUUCCACCAACCC
rnacentral:tRNA from 1 species